ACUCGAGUGGCGAACGGGUGAGUAACACGUGGGUGAUCUGCCCUGCACUUCGGGAUAAGCCUGGGAAACUGGGUCUAAUACCGGAUAGGGGCCAUUUUUAGUGUGAUGGUUGGAAAGUUUUUCGGUGUAGGAUGAGCUCGCGGCCUAUCAGCUUGUUGGUGGGGUAAUGGCCUACCAAGGCGGCGACGGGUAGCCGGCCUGAGAGGGUGGACGGCCACAUUGGGACUGAGAUACGGCCCAG
rnacentral:rRNA from 1 species